rnacentral:lncRNA from 1 species
ACAGGAUUUUGUGGUAUUCGAUGUUGAGUCGUCGGUGAAGCUCCGCUCUGAUUGUGACACGGGAAAUGGUUUUAUAUUGUAUAUAAAGUCUAUUGUCUAGGUUGUUUUUGUAUAAUCAAUAAAUACAUUAGUUGAUUUAACAUUUGUAUAAACAAGUAUUUUUACUAAUUAACUACAUUAGCAUUAUUUUGAUUGAAGAAUGUAAUACUCGAACCACAACUUUUAUAAUAUCGAACAUUACUUUCCGUUGCGUAUUUUGAAAAAGAUUUUUUACUAAGGUAGAAAUAUAGAAAUAAUGGGUUUGGGU